GGGAGGAUGGCGUGAACGGGGAGAGUGGAAUCGAGGGAAACGAGGGACCCAAAGGAAGACGAGGACCCAUGGGAGAAAAUGGUCUGAAUGGAGAGUCGGGCAUUGUAGGAGAAGCAGGAAGCCGCGGCCCUUCAGGAUCCCGGGGACCCCAAGGGACCAGAGGUCAACCGGGCCCCAGAGGAAUCCAGGGCCUUGCUGGACCUCAGGGCAGGCCAGGGGCUGAUGGACCAGGCGGUUUAGCUGGACGACGUGGAGCAAAUGGACAGAAGGGACAACAAGGCGACUCGGGGCCACAAGGAGUGACAGGCCCACUGGGGUCCAGAGGAAUGCCAGGGCAAGAUGGCAGAGAUGGGUAUGGAAUUACUGGACCGACCGGAACUAAGGGAGAUCCUGGUUUUCCCGGAUAUCCUGGUGUUCCGGGGGACAGCGGACUAGAAGGACCCCAUGGAGACCCUGGGCCCAAAGGAAUCCUCGGCAGGGGGGUAUGUGACGUCAUGUGUUAGUUGGAGAUAGAGAGUGUGUGUUUUUGUUAGUAAAUGAGAGCGAAACAGAGAGUGUACUGUGUAUUCAUAUAUUUUGUGUGUGUGUGUGUGUUUGUGUAUGUGUUAGUGAUUCAAUACAAAGUGUGUAUAUGUGAGGCCAAGGUGUCUCAUAUAUACAAUGUGUCUCUGUUUGCGAUCUUAUCCCUGUCGUUUCC
ensembl:lncRNA